rnacentral:pre_miRNA from 1 species
AAGAUACUUCCUUCGUCCGAAAUACCUGUAAGUGAAAUUAAUGUGUCUAGACAUGUUUUAAUUCUAGAUACAUUCAUUUUAAAUCAUUUCCAUGGCAAGUAAUUACAGACGGAGGGAGUACUUC